GUAUGUGAGAUAGCAGGAGGCUGGGCAGUGUAUGCUAGAAUGAGGAAACACCAUGCAGAAAGGAGAACAAGACUCAGUGAUUGGGAUCUUGAUUUUUUGCUUUGGCUAUAGUCCUCUCCCUUGAGGAAAAACUCAUGGGUCUGAUCUUCUACCUUACCACUGUGCAUGGAUGGGUGUUACAUUUAGUGCAUCUGGAUAAGAAGCAGAGAAGUUGAGGAGCAGUGGCUCUGAGGUAUGCUUGCCUUUUCCACAAUCCCACUGAAGUGCCUCUGAAAGUACACCACAGAGCUUGGCCUCUGCUGAUCAGACUCUCUUCUCAGGUCAGAGCAUGAACAGGUGGCAACUGUCAAAUACUUGGGACGUGUCCUAGACUUUGCUGGAAGAUGCUCAAAAGAUGUGGAUGCUUGUGUAGCAGCUGCCUCUGCCACGUUCCAGGGUCUUCAGCAGCUUCUGUGGAGACAUUGGGACAUCACACUUUCUAUGUAUCUGCGGAUUCUCAGAACUAUGGUUAUAUCAAUUCUGUGGUAUAGCAGUGACAUAUAGGCACCAAGGAAGGUUGAAGAGCAGCGGACUGAUAUUUUUGAUGCUCGUCAUCAUCAGCUCGUCAUCAUCAGCUGCUCCAUAUUAAGUGGCAGGAAAAGAUAAGCAAUAAGGAUAUUCGUAGCCAAACCCACCAAGUAUCCCCAUCAGCACUGGUUUCCUUUGGCAGCUUUCUGGGUAUGGACAUAUUGUUAGGAUGACAGACAACUGAAUUACGAAGUGUAUUUUCAAAAGAAUGCCACCACAGGUUUAGUGAUCACCAAAAGCUUCCGUAGUGCAAUAAAAUCACCAAUGAUGGAGAUAGACUGACCAUCGAGCCAGACCAUCUUAAGGAGCUAACUAGAGAUCAAUCAAAGUAGUGCUCAAUCUGCAAGGAGGCCACUCCAUUUGGGAUCAGUCUUGACACUAAUGAUGGUCAGCAGGGCAUGUAGGGCAAUGCUGCUGUCCAUAGUACGGUUCCCUCACAAACUUUAGUAUCACAUUCUUUCUUAAUGUUGUUUUCAUUUAGUUCCUGUGUUUAUACCAAUUUAGGUAGCCUUAUAUGGUCAUAUGGAUACAAUGUGGCCUAGGAGUUAGAGCUGGUGACUGGAAAUCAGUAUUUUAUUCUGGGUUUUAGUUUCAGCUUUGCGACUUGCAGUGUCCCAGGGUUAAGGCUACAAUUCUGUCACUGGUAUUUUUAGUAAAAGUCACGGACAGGUCACGGGCACUAAACAAAAAUUAAUGGAAGCCUGUGACCUGUCUCUGACUCUUACUAAAAAUUCCCUGGGGGAGGGGAGAGUGGAACAAACAGAGCACUCUUAGGGCUUGCAGCUGCUCUAGCGCCACCGCCACUCCUGCGGCAGGAGUUGACUACUGCCGCUUCAGCCCUGCGGCUGGCCGCUGGUCAGCUGUUCCAGCAGCUAGCCCUGGGAGCCUUGGGAACAGCUGAUCGGCCAUUGCUGCUCCAGCAGCCCCAGGGCCUGACAGCUGCUGCAGUCCUGCCCAGAAGAAGUCAUGGAGUUCCUGGAAAAUCACGGAAUCUGUAACCAAAUUGUAGCCUUACCCAUGGUACAUCACUGAACCUCUCUACCCUUCUGUACAAGGGGGAUAAUAGUAUCAAUACAUAGAGCUGUCCCGAGGCUUAAGUGAUUAAUGUAUUUUAAAUACUUAGAAAUUCUUAAAUGAAAAGUAUGCUCUAAAUAUAUUUUAUUAUUACCUUCAA